UGUUUUCAUUCUCUCUCUCUCUCUCUCUCGCUCUCUAUAAAUAGUGGUGUUAAUUUUAGGCAGUGAGAUAAAACGUCAGUGUUUCACAGUCUCUCAGAACAGAUGGGAGCUGUGAACUCUUCCAGCUGCCCACCUGUGUGUGUGUGUGUGUGUGUAUGGAGAGAGACAUGACGUUUAAUGUUUGUGUGUGUGUGUGUGUGUGUAUAUAUAUAAAUAUAUAUGAGAGUGAUAAACUGUGGGUAAGGUCCGUUUCCAUGCGCACUGCACUACUACUUCCAAAUUUCUCUUCGCAAUCAAUACACGAAAUCCAUAUUCACAACUUUCCAAACACCAUAAAUGGAUUUUUAUUGGUCUUUUCUUAUACAGUUAACCACACACAGUACUUAAGGCAGUGCUACGUCAUAUAAAACUACAUCACCAAAAAAAUUCAAUGAAUAAAUCACAGCUUGUAUCUGGAGUUGAACUUUGAGUUCGUAAGACCGGGUUUCUUACCCGGAGUGCUUUAAACCGCUGACGUUUUUUUUUUGUUGUUUUUUUAAACACAUUUUAACACGUAUAUAGAACUUGUCCCAGAUGAGGAGAAAAAACAAAACAAAAACAAAACACCACCAUAAGAAUAAAUUCCAGUCUCUAUCUGCAAGGCAAAGACCAGAACAUUUGUUUCUCAAAAAUAUGUUUGCCUUGUACAUCUGUUCUCUGUUCGGUUUACUAUCUCCUGUUUCUCUCAUAUAACUUAUCAGCUGAUAGCUAAACUAGGUGGGUUUGAGCAGGACGUGGAUGAAAUUAUGCUGGGGAGUUGGUCUCGAUAAGCGCGAUGCUCGUCUUCUCAAGUAAGCGCGAAGGACAUGGCAGUUCAAAAGAUGAGACGCAGAGAUGAGGAAGGCAGGCCUGACGACCUUUUUUGCGUCGCUAUGCUCUGCGUCUUCUUAACAUCGGAAUACACUGCUACGAGAUAUCACAACGAAAUACACCGAGUACUCUUUAUUUAUUUAUUUAUUUAUUUGAAAAACCUUCCCGCGAUAAAAACGGCACAAGAGCCAGUUAACGUAUGAAGCUGGAAUGAUUGACAGUUGUGCUAACCGAUCCCCUGUAAGCCCCGCCCCCUUCCUUCCUCCAGUCUCACGUUAGUGGUGUUCUGAGACAGAGUGCCUGUCUUUCUGUCAACGUAAAUGGAGAACUCAUUAAUAUAAAAUAAAAUCUAUCGACGUAUGUUCAGCUCGCCUGACGUUAGACAGGUAUAAAUUUAACAUCAGGUAACUAUAGCGGUGGCACCGAUCUGAUGCGUAGAGUCGGCGUUAAGUUUAAAGCAAAAGCACUGGAUAUCAGAUCCUUUACUAAACGGCAAAAGACUGGAGCAGGUCCAAAAGUCUGUGAGCACUAGUGAAAGUGCUACUAACUUAAUACAACAAUUUAUCAGAAAUUAUAUUAUCGGCAACAACUUUAUUAGUAUUAGUAUCCAUUAGAGUUUAUUAGUACUUGGUGCGUCCCCUUUAUGCGCAAAACCAUCGACCCGUUUGAGAUCGGCGUGUCGUCUGAACGCGUGCUCCGACCGAAGAGAUUAGACAUGAGGGAAAUCUGACCUCUUUUUUUUUUUUACAAAGCAGUUAGCACGGUCGAUAUCACUAAUUCGCUUCCGUUUAAAUACGGACGUAGAAAUAGUGCAUGACCCUGAAUAUUAUAUAUUCACGAUAUUGAACGUUCUAAAAUCCAUUUUUAAAUGAAAAACAAAACAACCCAGAUUUUCAAUGUGGUCUCAGACUUUCGGACCCCGACGUGUAAAGAAACUCAUUUUUCCUUUCAGCAAUUUUAUACUUUAAAAUAUACACUCACCGGACACUUUAUUAGGAACACUGUACUAAUACUGGGUAGGGUCUCGGAACAGCCUCAGAUCUUCGUGGCAUAGAUUGCACAAGAUGUUAGAAACACUCGUGUGAGAUUCUGACGUGAUGGCAUCACGCGGUUGCUGCAGAUUUUUCAGACGCACUUUCAUGUUAAAGUGCUGUUCUAGUGGAUUCCGAUCCAGUGACUGCGCAGGCCAUUAAAGUACACUGAACUCGAAAUUCAGGAAAACAGUGUUCGCACACUGACUUUUGCUUUUGCAAUUCUCAAAUAGGCCGUGGCGUUGAAGCGACGAUUGCUUGGUAUCGACGCUCCCAAAGUGUGCCAAGAAAACAUUUCCCACACCACCUCCACCAGUCUGGACUGUUGACGCGACGCACUUCCGUGGAUUCAUGUUGCUGGUGCCAAAUUCUGACCUUACCACCGGUGUGCGCCUCAUCAGAAAUCCAGAUUCAUCAGACCAGGCUACGUUUGUCCAGUUUCGGUGAGCCUGUGCCCGGUGCGUCCUCAGCUUUCUGUUCUUGGCUGACAGAAGUGGAACCCGUCGUAGCCCGUGCGCCUCGAGGUUCGACGUGUUGUGCAUUCCGAGCUGCUUUUCUGCUCACCGCGAUUGUACACAGUGGUUAUACUGUACUGUAUCUGUUACUUGAACCAGUCUGGACAUUUUCUGUCCACCUCUCUCUCAUUUCCCUUUAUUGCACCGUUCUAAGCAGACUGCUCCGAGUGGAAAUCCCAGGAGAUCAGCAGUUAUAGAAAUACUCAAACCAGCCCGUCUGGUACCAACGGUCAGAAUCACCGAGAUCACAUGUUCGCGUCGUACCGCUGCAACACGAUUGGCCGAUUAGAGAAUUGCAUGAACGUGUAGGUGUACAGGUGUUCCUAAUAAAGUGCUUCAGAUAGGAUAGGAAUAUCAGGCGGGUAUCAAGCUCACGCCAUCAGUAUCAGUACCGGAAGUGGUAUCGGUGCCAGCUCUAUAUCUACACUUAUUGGAUUCGACCGGAAUAGGCCUACGGUGAAGUGUCAGAAAGUCUUUACGAAUAACGUUAACAGGAAUGAUAAUUGGUCAGAGAUUGAAAUCGCCGUCGUGUGCUUUGCACUCCUGCCCCAGUCCUUGGCUCAGACUCGUUCAAACAGUUCGAGCAGCAGAUAAACAGUGAAAACGUCAGCCGUGUGGAACCGAGUCACGGUUUCUACUAGUGAUGUCAGACGAGUGAUGUGUGAAAGGGUUCUGUCGGACGAAUAACGUACGUUAAUUUUUUUGUUUGUUUUUUUUAAACCGAGUUCUCAACAAAAAUGCCAGCAGGACCAUGCAAGACUCCUCUUCGGGGUCUGGGAAUGGAUUUCUUAUCGUAACCACUGUCUUCUGCAACGCUUUCAGCCCUUGACGUCCUUCCUCUUUGCCGCUACAGCAAAUAUCUGAGCUCUUUUGAGCGCCGGGGUACGCGAACGCCUGAUUAACUGCCCUAAAAGAAUGUCUGAGCUGUUCUAUGGUUGCAGGAUUAUGUGACAUGGUCAUUUGUCUUGCAGUGUAAGAAGUCUCACGAAACAUCUGGAAGGUGUCUCAGUAAUAGUGAAGAACAUUGUCAAGUGAUCGCUGGUGUUUUAACGGCUGUAGCUAAGUGUGUUUUCUGUACAUUACAGCUGAGCAGCAUGCACUAUGCGUUCGCACCGAGCAAUUCGAUCGGGUUUUUAUCCACGGCGCCUGUGUCUCGGUUACCGUCACGGCAUUUCGAUCACGCCGUGAGGAUGGGCGAUCUAAUCAUGCACUACGGAGUUUCACCACACGACGACGUUACUAAAACCGUACAGUGUGCUCAUGGCUUUUAAAAUGUCAAAAUCCCUCGCUAAGAGCGGCUCUGAAUAUGAACACUGGCCAUUCGAAAACCUUCACGCGACUUGGACAAAGCGUCCGGCACAUGGCCGUCGGUUCAGUCUCGGACCGCUAUUCCGUGUUUCUCCGAGACGCCGAGGGCGGCGUCGGCCACUAGAUAAAGUCGUCAUAAUACAUUCACCAAUGUGCAUCCACGGUUCUGUAAACAUUAACGAGAAACACAUCACAGGCGUGUCCUGUAGAGCUUUCUAGCGUGAGGUCGAUGGGCUCUAUGCUUGUAAACAUCAUCACGUCGCUGUCGCGAAAAGAGUGCGAGCUAUAUAAAACCGAACAGUCGAAAUACAGAGGCGUAGAAAAGAGGCUACAUUUAACACACUUGGCACGAAAUGCAGCCAAGGAAUACUAUAUGUGCGACGGCGAAAGAAACGAUUCAAACGACGACGGGGGAAAAAAAAAACAAACGGAAUGUUUCAAAAUGGCUGAAGAAGAGAGCCUGAAUCUCUGGCUUGAAAGAAUGUACGGCCUCCGUUCCAUGUCUGUACAUCCGUCCAGAAAAUGUGCCAAUAUAUAUAUAUAUAUAUAUAUACAGCCCCAAUCCUCAGAGCCUCGUCCAUCCCCACAUAUUCUCUUUCAUGUAUCCGUCUUCAUGCAGUUCCGCAUGUUCUAUGUUUGUUCUCAUAGUUACCCUUGUUUUUUUCACAUUCCAUGCCCAGAGGAUGUGAUUAGAAAGCUUGGUACAGUCAGUUCUUCAAAGAUUGACCACAGGAAGUCUGCAUAAGGAGAGAGAGAGAGAGAGAGAGAGAGAGGAGAGAGGAGAGGGAGGGAGGGAGAGAAGAAAGGGACAGAGUUUAUCUUGUGUGAAAUUAAGUUUGAAAUCCCCUGGCUGGAAAAAGAGUGGAGAUUUCACAGGUUGUUUUCUCUCUUCGUUUCACUCCCCUCCUCCCGUCCUCUCUCGGCGGACAGUUGAUAUGAUGAUUAGUAGAUUAGGACGAAGGAAGAAAAGAAAUCAUGCCCGGAAAGCGUAAAUGAUGCGUUUAGCUUUGUACAAGUUCUCCCGCUCCGUCGUAGACGUCGGAGUGCGCUUUAAAGCACGCACGCAGACGAGCAUCGGCACCCUCGUCGUUCUGCCUCAGAGCCACGCGCACGUUCGUCUCGCGCUCCUUCCGAGAGCCUUCCGUUGACGGUCGCGGUAUGUUCGGGCUUUCCUCAUGGGGGACCAGCCGAAUGUUCGCACAUGGUCCGAACUGUCAGAUAUUCCUAGCCAUAUGUGAUUAUACCCCCACACACACACGCACACACACACACACACGAUCUACCUUUCUCUGUCAGGGAACGAGGGGGUGCUCUGAAGUGUGUGCCUGCUAUCCUCUGGGGCCAGGGAACGAGGGAUGGCGAGGGAAAGAGGGGGAGGACGCUGAGACAGGCUGCGGUCAUAACUGAGAGAGAGAGAGAGAGAGAGAGAGACAUUACUUUUCGUGUAGAAACUCGUACAGGAGGAAUAAAACAGAGGCGUUAAAAUAGCAGCGAGAUAAAAUUUCCGAGAUGCCGAGCGCAGGUUAAUGCGCUCGCUGUGUUCAUCCACACGCAUCGUCGUUACAGAGCACGGAGAGACACUGUGCAUAAUUACAGCUUUUACAUUUGUGAAAUUACAGCCGGCAGUUAUUAUCUGUGACAGACUCGGAGGUACAGGUAGAUAGUGCAGAGGGCUGUUCAUGCAAUAUUCACAGUGUUCUCGCUCUCUCUCUCUCAAAUACACACACACACACACUGAAGAAAGAGCGAGAUCAGGUUCUGCUCUGAGUGCGAGGCAAUAACCAGAGGAGAGUCGUUAGAGCAGGAGGCUGAUGCACACAGAAUGCAUAAUGCACAGAACAUUGUGUGUGUGUGUGUUUGAUCUGUCCAUAAGAGGCUGCACGACAAAUUGAUGGCGACUCGGUUAAUAUGAUGAUAAGGAGUACUGCUUGAUCUAUGUGAAGACUGAAAAUGCCCUGUAAUCACUCAGGUAUUGAGUGAAUGUACACACACACACACACACACACACACAUCAUCCAAAUACACGUUCGAGCUACUGUAUUCAAGUCGGUUACGGCGACGUAUAACGUCCGACGAGCCCGUUAGUGCAAACUUCCCCGAAUAAAAACCUGUACAUUUCUACAACAGAUUUCAUAUCGCGACUUCAUAUUGCGUCAGUGUAUUCCCCUGCCGUAACGGAGACCUGGGCUUAGGACCGGAUGAGUUCGAUACAUCAUGAGAUGUAUCUGUAGAUUUGAUCAUCUGCAGCACUCUCAAUAAUUUAAAAGCACCGCCUGCAGGUCCCCCAGGCCAGGCCGAACGAAAGCUCCAAGAGAGAAAACUGCAAAGGCUUCCACAAAAGACAGGCAGAACGUCGAGCUGUCUCGCAGAGCCGUGCAGGCUUCCCUCUAAUGCCUCCACUCACGGAGAGAUAACCCGAGAGAAAAUCCGGCGUUCUGGUGUGUGAAGUAUGGCAUUAUCGGUCUGAAUACACACACACACACACACGUCGUACUAUCCUUCCACUGACUUAAUUAUUAAUGCAUCUAAUUAAUGCUAUAUGCCAAGUCUAAAUCUAACCGUAACCCUUAUUUAUUUAUUUAUUUUAUCUCAGAUAUUCCUAUCCGUGUGGGUCUCAUUUAGUCCUCAACAAGAUAUAAAAACAUGUUCACACACACGCACGCACGCACGCGCGCACGCACGCGCUGGGCAGCAAGGACAGCUGAAGUGCUGAAAUCCCCUCACCAGAGUUUGGCCGAUAUGAUGAGCGCAGAGAGAAUCAGGAGAGAUGAGAUAGUCACGGUGACGUAAAACUGAGGAUCCACUACAGAAAGAGAAAAGAACGCUAGAUUAGGGAAUACAAACAGAGCGCCAGGAAUACGAACACAAGGGACACGAAGAUAAAGGUAACACAGAGGAGUUUCAAAUCUGAGUAAGUGCAGUAGCAGUUGAAGAAGGUUGCAAUGCCACAAGCAGCUGAAAUGUUCACUCUCCACUUUCCUCUUCCUAAGCGUGUGGGAGCUCAAAGAGAAGCAUUGUGGGUAGUGAACAGCUCGAGCGUCCGUCCAGGUGCCCACCUUCUUCAAUCUCUCUUUCCUCUGCGUCUCGUUCCUGCUCCUCUGCCGAGUCCUUGGCUUCGAUGGACAGCGGCUGCUGUUGGGUUUGGUUGGCUUGGGCGUUCCUGCGACGCGGCCACACCUCGGGUGUGGCCUGCUUCACGCCCUCGACUUCCUGACUGGACAGGAAGUGAUGCGUCUCGUCCUCCAGCGGCUGCGUGGGACCCCAGUCGACUGCCCAGAGCGGAGUGGGUGUGGCCUGGGGUGUAGCGGACAGCUGCAUGUCGACAGGCUCGUCGCCCGCACGGCAAUGAGGGGGACAAAUGAUGACGGCAACCAGCAGGAGGCGCAAGAGAGCAGUGAGUCCAGAGACGGAGCUACAAAAAAAAAAAAUGUAAGAAAGAACAUUAACACUAUUGAUGUUUGAUGUAUUGAGUAGCGAUAAAUAACUCAUUAAGCACUUGCACACUUCCUCGCUCUCUUUUCAUUACCAUCGCUCCAUCGCUUCUCUUUUCACUGGUUGUUCGCUCCUCUGAUCAUCUCUUGAAAGAGGGAGACGAGGAGAGGGGGAGCGCUUGGCUCCUGACACUUACUGAAAGAUCGUAAACAGAUGGCUGUAGGGGGGAACGACGCUGCAGCUUGAGAGGGAGAACACAAACAAACUCACAUCUUUCAGUCAUAACCUCAAGGAUCAAACACGCACGAAAUGAUCUAGGAAGAACAUUCACACACACACACAUAAAUAAACCAAUUACAAUUUUACACACACACACACACACAUAAAUAAAACCAUUCAUAUACACAUAUGCAAGGGAAGAAAUAUAGCAGUAUAUAUUGCCCAUUCUACCACACACACACACACACACACACACACACACACACACCUGUAGACACAUCCACUGCUUUAAUCCAGUUCCUGACUCAGGCAAUAACUCAGCAACUGGAUUUAGAUCCGAUGACGUCUUUAACACUACUACAUGUGAAACAGAGAAACACACAUGCACACACACACACACACACACACACACACACACAUGUACGCAAAUGCAUGCAGAUCACUAGUGUGUAGAAAGCCAUCAGUCCACAUGCUUACCGCUCGCUGCUGAAGGAGGGAGUGGGAGAGAGCCAGAGUGUGUCAGAGUGAGAAAAAGCAUUGGUUGCCUUAGCGACAGAGACAUGGAGAGAGAGAGUGAGUGAGAGAGAGAGAGAGAGAGAGAGAGAGGGCAUAAGUGAGAGAGAAAGAACAUAAACAAGAAAGAGAGAGAGCAUGAUAGAGAUAGCUUGAGAGAAAGAGUAUUAGAGAGAGAGAGAGAGUGUGAGAGAGAUGGUUGUUCCUGUAAAAGACAGAUUUAAAUGCUAAUUAUGCUUUUCAACUGGUUCAGUUUAACCGAACAGAAGCGGAAAAUGGAACGCAUUUUGAAAACAGAAACCAAAAGAUAAAACGGAGAAACAAUUUCAUCAUAUUCUGUCUGAGAACAGGGAAGGGAGAAAAAGUAUUUCGUUCGUUUCAGGAGGACAGACAGGAUCAACAAAAUAGAGGCAGUAAAAAAAAAUCAAUACGCAUUAAUUUGGCGCUGGGUGGAGGAGUGCACGAUGAAGAGGUAUCCUGAUAUUUAUAGACAGAAAUGCCAGAGAUGAUAAAUAAUCUCAGACACACACACACAGUCAUAGCAUGGCACGUUUAUUGGCUCCAUGAUGCAAGAUUUACAUGAAGAACAAGCUGUUGUCCAUCCGCGCUCUUUGCCCUGCCGCCACCCGCUCAAUCUGCUAAACUUCACACCUCACGUUCUAGCUCUUCCUGUCUUGGUCUCUCUCAUUUCUCUCUCUCUCUCACUGGAGGACGCAGCGUAGCCACGAUGAUCCCGACACUUCUUCUCCGUCGCUGGCCGUGGACUCUUCAUCUUCAUCUUCGUCAUCGUCUGAUGAAAGAG
ensembl:lncRNA